rnacentral:lncRNA from 1 species
UUUUUUUUUUUUUUUUUUUGGUUGACUGAUUGACCUUUAUCCCAUCCCUGAGGGCAUGGGUUCUGUGUUGAUUGGACCAUAGUUAUGAAGAGCCAACAUGGCCUAUCCCUGAAAAUUAAAUGUCAUGGCAGAAUUGUUGCCCUAUCAUUAAUGUCAUAGAAAAAAAAAUACCAUGCUCUUGGACAUUUAUAGCGUGAAAUAUUUAUGAAAUUAUUAAUAUGUUAAUUAGUGUAAAUCAAUUUUGUAAAACCACCGAAAAAGAAACUAUUUGACCCAAUGCUGUUGAAAAAUCAGGUUCUUGAAUGCUGGAAUUUUUGGAAAUGGAACAGAGUCAGGUCACACGUUGCCACAUUCUGCGACGAGGGCUGCAAUGCUAGUGAGGAUCAACACCCUUCUACAGGGGUAUUCGGGGAUCAGAUUUGAGAUAUUAGAAGCUCUUACAAAGCUUCUCAAUCACAACAUCACUCCGUGUUUGCCUCUCCGUGGCACGAUCACUGCCUCUGGCGAUUUGGUUCCUUUGUCAUACAUUGCAGGACUGUUGACCGGCCGUCCUAAUUCUAGGUGUGUUGGGCCCAAUGGUCGGUCCCUUGAUGCCACGGAGGCAUUUCAGAUUGCUGGGAUGAAUUCCGGGUUCUUUGAGUUGCAGCCUAAGGAGGGUCUAGCACUGGUUAAUGGCACGGCUGUUGGGUCGGGUUUGGCCUCCAUGGUUCUAUUUGAGGCAAAUUUAUUGGUAAUCUUAUCUGAAGUUUUUUCAGCAAUUUUUGCUGAAGUUAUGCACGGGAAACCGGAGUUCAUUGAUCAUUUGAUGCAUAAACUGAAGCACCACCCUGGUCAGAUAGAAGCCGCAGCCAUAAUGGAACACAUUUUGGAUGGCAGUUCCUAUGUCAAGGCAGCAAAGGCAUUGCAUGAAACGGAUCCCCUCCAGAAGCCUAAACAGGAUAGAUAUGCACUUCGUACUUCACCACAGUGGCUAGGACCCCUGAUUGAAGUUAUUAGAUCAUCGACAAAAUCGAUUGAACGGGAGAUCAAUUCUGUCAAUGACAACCCUUUGAUUGACGUGUCGAGAAACAAAGCCUUGCAUGGAGGGAAUUUUCAGGGGACUCCAAUUGGUGUGUCAAUGGACAACACCAGAUUAGCUAUAGCGUCCAUAGGGAAACUCAUGUUUGCUCAAUUUUCUGAGCUCGUCAAUGAUUUCUACAAUAAUGGCUUGCCUUCUAAUCUAUCUGGAGGAAGAAAUCCUAGCUUGGAUUAUGGGUUCAAAGGCGCCGAAAUUGCAAUGGCCGCCUAUUGUUCUGAGCUUCAAUUUUUGGCCAACCCUGUCACAAAUCAUGUACAGAGUGCCGAGCAACACAAUCAGGAUGUUAACUCUUUAGGAUUGAUUUCUUCUAGAAAAGCAGCUGAAGCAGUAGACAUCUUGAAACUGAUGUCUUCAACUUACCUAGUGGCACUUUGUCAGGCAAUUGAUCUGAGGCAUUUGGAGGAAAAUUUGAAAAACGCUGUCAAGAGCACAGUUCACCAAGUCGCUAAAAAGGUUCUGACCACAGGCAUCAAUGGGGAGCUUCAUCCUUCAAGAUUCUGUGAAAAAGAUUUACUUAAAGUGGUUGAGCGUGAAUACGUGUUUACAUACAUAGAUGAUCCUUGCAGUGCAACUUAUCCACUGAUGCAAAAGCUAAGGCAAGUCCUUGUUGAUCAUGCCCUGAUCAACAAUGAGGACCUAAAUCCGAACACUUCGAUUUUCCUCAAAGUUGGAGCUUUUGAAGAAGAGCUGAAGACCCUUUUGCCAAUAGAAGUUGAAAGUGCAAGAAAUGCAUGUGAAAGUGGUAAUCCUGCAGUCCCAAAUAGGAUCAAGAAAUGCAGGUCUUACCCUUUAUACAAAUUUGUGAGGGAAGAUUUGGCGACUGGAUUCUUGACAGGAGAAAAGGCAAAGUCACCUGGAGAGGAAUUUGAUAAGGUUUUCUCCGCAAUUUGUGAUGGUAAGAUGGUCGAUCCAUUGCUCGAGUGUCUCAAAGAUUGGAAUGGUGCUCCGCUACCCUUGUGUUAAAUGCCACUCCACGGCACGUUGAGCAGAUUUUAGCUGUUGUACUCGGUGAAGGCCGACAGAAGAGCAGGCUUCCUUGAGGAAUAUUUUGUUUUACUGUAGUAGCAAACUGUUUUUCUCUACUUUUUUUUUUUUUUUUUUGUUGUUGUUGUCAAUUAUCACCAUCUACUCCUACUUCCAUCUAUUAUUUUUCUCUAUCUUUUUGUCUCUCGUGAUUUAUGUACAGAUAAAUUAUUGUAAUUUGUUGGGAUUUCUCAAAUUUUGUGAGGAUUUGAAUCAUCGUAUAUUAUUGUUUUUACUAACAUCCUUACUUCCAUACAUGAUUAACUUCCACGAGCUAACAAAUUGAAUUACUCUGAGCACUUGAUCAACUCGAGCUUUAAUUGAGAAGUCUUAUGAGCCCUCGUGAGCCGCUUGAUUCGUGCAACCCUAAAUACCAACCUAGGGUUAUGGAGUAACUACUUAACCACUAAACCAACUUUUUGAGAAAAAAAGAACUUGGUUCAUACCUUAUCAAACUUCUAAUGAAAAAACUUGGAAUGCAUCCUACUGCCGUAAAAACUUCAAUUAUCACCGUUCUCCUCCAUUCCCCCCCCCUCUCCAAAACCCUUCCUUGUGAGGGGUGGAGGAAUAAAUGGGCAUUAAACAAGUAAACCCACGUCAUCAAUUACAUCCUAACCAACAGGUCACUGAGCGAGGAGGCUGCUGAAACGCUAAUAUCCAUUCGCACCUCUAAUUUCCUCCAUGUUAUCUACACGAUCAUCCAAUUCUCUUUAUGCAUGAAAAAGAAUUGCUAUAUUGCCCAGGCACAUUUGGUCACUGGCCCAAAUCUAACAGAUACUAUCACAAUAAGGGCCUACAGCAGUUCCCUACACCAAGUCUAAUUCCCGUAGGAGAACGUGAUAGUACAGGCACUUUGCAGUUGUGACACACUAAUUUCAGGAAAUGUCCUUAAAUCCACUAAAGAAGAUAAAUAGCUACAUUUUCUAUUACAUGUAUCCAACUUUUAAUCGUAGCCAGCAACUUCCAUGGAAAGCAGUCUGAAGCGGCUUUCCUGCAUUAGAGUUUGAAGCAGCCAUCAUACAUCUUUGGGGGAUAUUCAUACCACCAAAAAAGGUUUGAAUCUAGUCAAGCAUCAGGGAUCAACAAAUUUAAUGCCAGAAAACCAGAAAUUGCAACUUAUUCGUGUUUGAUUAUGAUUCCGAAGGCUGCAGCCCGCUACGAGAGUCGAGAGUUUGAUUCGAUGAAUGACAGUAACUGAAAAUUCUAUUCAGGUGAAGAGGAAUGGAAAUCGGACAACCCCCGAUGAAGAGGAAUGGAUUCAUUCAUGCUGAGUAUGAGACCAACUUGCAAACAAAGAAAAAAAUGGUACUACGUCUACACAUAUGUAUACCUCAGGAUACAUGGAAAAAGUCAAUCUUAAGGUGGACUGAACGCUACCCAUUUAAACAAAAGAGGAAUAUAUACAGGGCCCUUAAAAUAUAGAGUUGCUCCAUCCCAAAUGACUGAAUUAACGAAUAUGCUUCCUUCGCAUGCCUUAAGAUCUCAAAACAUACUGUUGACAAAUCGUUUAUUAGCUGUUAACAAGUCAUAUGCAACUGUCAUUUGUAAACUAACAGGAUUAGUGAGAGCUCUUGUGGAAAGCUGUCAGCUGAACAUGUACCACAACUUCCAUUCCAUUUUAUAGAGGGACAUGAUCAAACGUCCCACUGAAAACACACUAGACAGGUUACUUAGCAAAAGAUAUGCAUUUGCCAGUGGGCAACAUUACAUGCGUUUUACAUUGGUCAGUCAUCAUCAUCAGACAAGCAAACAACAUCAGAAGCUACAGCUGGAAGUUUUAGACUACGGUCCACAUUACCCGGUGCUCUGGUGACUGAUGGAUCUAGCAUGCUCGUAUUUAAACCAGAGCCAGCUAAGUGCUGCAAUAUAGUAGGCAGAUGGCCACCAGCUUGAUUAUCAAUAUCCAUGAGCAACUCCACCGCAGAUUGACUGGGGUUAUGACAACCUGGAUGAACUCCACUUUCAGGUUGAGAAGGCCUACUACUAGAAACAGCUUGACUGAUCCUGCUCGGUUGCAGUGCAGCUGUUGGUUGGGUUGGGGGUAAGGGGUUUUGUUGCAGCAAGAAUUGUGAAGGCAAUGGCAGUGGUUGUUGAUUUGGAACAGGGGGAAGUGACACAGAUCUUGCAGGCAAGUUGAUUGGCACCUGUUGAUUGGGAAUAUUGCCGGGAAUGCACGAGCUACUAGCAGCUGCAGACGUGCAACCAGGUAGUCUGAAAGGUUGAAGAUGUGGGGCUGGCGCACGCUUCUCUCCACUAACUCGAACACCACCAGUAGAAGGGGUAAUGGCACUGAUUUGGGGAGGUCUUGCAGGAACACUUGGAAAAAGUCCUGAAGAACGAUGAAGAGAUUGUACAGGUGGCAUUGCAGUCUGUUGACUCACAGAAGGUAGGCCAGCAGGAGACAAGGUAGCAACAGAGGGAUGUCUCCCUGUAGGCUGCAAGGAUAACUGAUUCACCCGCUGAAUGAAACUGACAGGAGCACCUGCGGAAAAGAACAUGUACUAAAUUUAGAUCUCAAAAUUUCUAAAAAUAGAAAAAAAAAAAUCCCCAAAAAGAUAAAACCAAAAGAAAAGACCAAUUAAUAGUUCAGAUAAAGGUCCAGCACUAGUGGCAUUUUUCAUCUUUGAAAAGUUCCAAAUCAGUUUGUCUUGGAAAAUCACACACAGAUACUUUACCAAAUAAUAAGAGGAUAUGCCACAUAGAAAAGUUCUUAUUUCAAAAGAAGAUAAAAGUAAUUCAGUCAAUUCAGCAAAAUUAACGUUCAGUCGCAUAUCCUUGACUUUAAAGCUUAAAAGAGUCAAGUGUUACAAACUUAGAUCAAGGAAUAAAUUUGACUGCAAAUACACUUGAAGAUCAGCAGUUUAGAUAUUGAAUCAGCAAUUUUUUUUAAAUUUUCUACUUGAGAAGUGUCUUCCUCGGGUCAGGCAGGAGGAGCAUCAAGAAGCUUGAAGGAUUAGUCCAAAGUUUCUAAUACUCUAAAGAACAUUUUGACUCCGGAGCAAUUAACCAGACAUUAGUAAAAAAUUAUGAUACAUUAGCAUUGCAAACAUAAAGUGCCAAUGCAAGAUCUAAUAAGCCAAACAAGAAUGCCAACUUUACAAUGGUUGAAUUAAGUGCUUAAUACUGUAUCAACCCCAACACAUAAAACACGGGCUGUAACAUUUCACACAUAUCAAGACAUGCCAAAAGCUCAGUACCUUGCUGCAUCGAUAAAACCGCAGAAGGCUUAAGAUCCAAGCAUUUAGAGCGAAAAGCUUCAGCUAAUAUCUUGUUCAUAAGAACCUUCUUCUGGUUUGUAUCCAGUUCAGUCUUUUUCAACAGAAAUGCUGUCUCAGCAUCUCUAUGUUUUGCUUCAUAUUUGCUACGAAUUUGAGCAAUCAUUUCCUCUAUUUCCUUUUCACAUUCAGAUUGAAACCGCAGCUUCUGUUGAAUGCCAAAAAAGCUGUCAUGAAAAAGAUUUUGCUCUACACGUGCAGUAACCAAGAAGCAAGCUUAAACUUUACCGUGCUAUCAUGAAGUGUAGUAGUUUGUUCCACUUCUUUACGUAUCCUCUCCAAUUCAUUUUGAAGUGGGUCAACCUGAAGAGGUAGAGGUAGAUUUGAGGAAGCUACCUGGUGCGGUUGACGUACUGAAAGGUGAGCUGAUCCUUCAGCUACGGCCACGUUAGGCCUGGAUUGUUGUAGAGCUUGGUUAAUGAGUUCAGCUGCAUUGUCAACCGCUUGAGUUGGAACCACGCUAUUGUGGGACACCACAGACAGCUCCGCAAUGCAGUCAUGAUUAGUUCCAGUGAUUGUCUGUAAAUUUAAGCCUGAUCUGCUUUCAGUUGAAGGAGGCGGCACCAAGUUUUCCCCAUUUAGAGAAACAGCUAGCUGAGAAAGCACCACUGACCCUUCAACCACAGGGGAAGAAGCCUCAGAGGUCUGUAGCGAGUUGUCCGUCUCAAUAUGGCCUUGAUCAACAGAUUCAGCUGCAGAAGGAAGACUACACACAGGAGGAGAUGAACAAUUGGAAACAAAAUGGACAAAGUUCUCGCUGCUCUGGGGAACAUCAUCACGUGAAUGCUCUGCACACCUGUCAACCAAUUGGAUAGAGGCCUCAGAGGUCUGCAGUGCAUUGCUCCCUGCAAUUUGACCUUGGUGAACAGCUUCAGUUAUAGUAGGCUGCCUGCAGACAGGAGAUGAAAGAUUGGAAGCCUCAGAGAUCCGCAGCGAGUUGGCCCUCUCAAUAUGGCCUUGAUCAACAGAUGCAGCCAUAGUAGGUUGACUAAACAGAGGAGUAAAACUAUUGGAAGCGGGAUGGAUCAAGUUUUCACAGUUCUGGGGAACAUUAUCAAGUGAAAGCUCUGCAGACGUGUCAACCAAUUGGAUAGAGCCCUGCAGUGAGUUUCUCCCUUUGAUUUGACCUUGGUGAACAGCUUCAGCUAUAGGAGGCAGCCUGCAGACAGGAGAUGAAAGAUUAGAAGCCAGCUGCACCAAGCGAUCCACUGUCAAAGCCUCAGAGGUCUGCACAGAGUUGCUCCCAUCGACAUUAUUUUGGUAAGCAGCUUCAGCAAAAGUUGGUUGACUACGAGCAGGAGAUGAAUAGUGGGAAGCCAGCUGCACCAAGUUUUCUCCAUCCUGAGAAAGAGCUUGGUGAGAAAGCUCCAGUGAUUCCUCAACUAAUUGGGUUGAAGUGUCAGAGGUCUGUCUAGAGUUGCUCCCUUCAACAUGACUUUGCUGAACAGCUUCUGAAGUAGCAGGUUGACUGCAGACACGUGAAGAAAAAUCGGAAGCUGGGUGCACCAAAUUCUCUCCAAUACAAGCCUCAGAAGUCUCAGUAUGAGCUUGGCGAACAGCAUUAGCAGCAGUAGAUUGACUGCAGACGGGAGGUGAACAUUCAGAAACCAGCUGCACCAAGUUUUCCCCAGCCAGCAAAACAGCUUCAUGAGAAAGCUUCGCCGACCUCUCAAAGAAUUGGGGAGAAGCAUCAGAGUUCUGUAGAGAAUUACUCCCUUCAAUUGGAACUUGGUGAACGGCUUCAGCAGCAGGUUGACUUUGUUCAGGAGAUGAAGAACUGGAAGCCAGCUGCAACUGCUCACUAUCUAACUGAAUGUUUAAUCCAGCUUCAAGCGGUGUAGAGCUUACCAAUCCCACUGCUGUAUUCAGAUCUCCUGCAAUUGGCAAGUCUUCAAUCUGCAUAUAAGGUGAAUCCAUAUUAGGAAAUUCAUCAUGCAUCACCUAACAAUUUAAUAUCUAACUUUAACAUUCUCCAAAUAAUAAUAUCCAUAUUAGACCACAUUUGAACUACCUUCUCGACAGCACUGAAAACACUAGACAACCGGACAAAUGACAAAGGCCCAUAUUUCAAUUGUCGAAUACUUAUUAAUCUAUUGUACAUACAUCAGCUUAACUGUGAUAAUGUUAACAAAUCUCAACCUAACAAAGAACAUAAGACAAAGAAAUUUAAAUGUAGCAGAAAGUAAAAGGAGAGAUCAACUAAUUCACAUAAAAUGACACUAGUUACUCAUCCAUUUCCAAAAUGUCAGUAAAAGGAGAGAUGAAGUAAUUCACAUAAAAUGAAACUAGUUACUCAUCCAGUCCAAAAAGUCAUGGAAAGCAGAGACGAACUAAUUCACAUACAAUGACACUACUUACUCAUCCGGUUCCAAAAUAGACUUUCAACUUCCCUUCUUUGACAAUUGCCAACAUAACAUUCAGAAUCCUCAAGACUGAAUGAUUUUUAACUAUAACAUAACAUAAACUGUCAAUCUAAGUGCACUGAACAAAAGUUGCAAACCACACCUUCUUCAAUUAACUUGAACACUACAACAAAUCUCACUUUCCUGUAAAACAUACUCAAGUAAUAAAUCUAUUUUCAAGUAGGUGACUAAUAUUUUAACUGUGAAAACUGUUGGCUGUUAUAAAUCAAAACUAAUCCAUGUAAUAAAAAUCAAUUAAAAUCAAUCAUAAAUAUUAAAUACACCUAUACAAAAUUGAUUGAGGAAAACAUCUUUCAUUGCACCUCCAAUGCUGCAAUGGAUUUUGUUAAAAAGAAUAAAAUUGAGAGGGUUUGGCUAGAGAAAUUGUUACGUACACAUUGUGGAGGCGAAUCUGGAGGAGGAAAUGUUUGCACCAUAAUUAGAUCUACUGAUUGCAUUUGUCCAGAGAGAGCAGUUCCGCAAAUGGAGUUAUGAGUCCGACCUUCCUGGUUCCCCCCGACAUCAGAACCUAUUGAAUUUCCUGUACCAUUUUCUGUAUUAAACUCGAGAAGAGCACCCAUUUCUGAAGUGAAGGCAUUCCCAAUUUCAGAUCCAGCUGUCCUAGGCAGCCCUAAAGGUAUCUCAUUAUCUUGACCACUUGAUGAAAUUUCACGAGUAUUUUGCCCAUUAUAAGUAGCUAGAUUAAUGCAAACGAUCUCCUCAGCUCUAUUAGAGGAACAAUUAGGAGUAAUCUCCUGGGAUGUCUGAGAUAAAUAUUCUGCUGUUUUGGGCUGAUCAAAUAUGAUAAAAGAUGAUGCGCCAACUGGUAUAGUCUCCAACGCCUUUUCAGAAGUUGAAUGCAGCAAAACAGGUGAUGUUUCAUCAGGAACGCUACAAGAACCUGCAUGCUUUGCAUUAACCUCAGGAGUAAAGUUAGAGGUGCGACUUGAUUCUUUGGACUGGUCAACUCUGGUAACAGAUGAUGCUUCAGCUGCCACAAUCUCUAAUGCCUCAUCUGAGACUGAAUUCACUGCAAUGGGUACUGUUUUAGAUUGCGUACUAUAGCCAGUAGCAUCAUCUGCUGCAGUCACUGGUAUGUGAGACACUAUCACAAUACUACCUCGACUUACAUGCACUAUUCUAUCAGGACUUUGUUCUCCCAAAUCAGGUCUAGAAUGAAGGACCUCAUUCUCACUAUACUCUGAAGUAAUACGUCCAGAACCCUCAGAAGACCCCAUUUCACAAUAUUCAGAUCCAUGCAUAUGCUGCUCAUUGACAUUUCUGUGUUCGCUCAAGCCAGACUUCAUCAUGGCUAAAAAAUUAGCAACUCUUUUACUCUCUUCUUCAAUUGCAGCUGCAUGCCUUGCCUCAAGCUGUUUAAGUUGCAUUUCCAUGAUACAUUCAUGCUCUUGAAUUUUCUUCUCAAAUUCACUGUCUGCUAUCUUAAGCUUAUCCAUCUCCAUUGCAGUUUGAUUGUAUGUUGUGCGUAUGAAAGCUGACUCCAGCCGGUGUUCAUCCUCUAAUUGAAUCCUCGUCUGCUCUCGCAUUUCGUGGAACUUUUGAAUUUCCUCCUCUUGCUUUUGAUGAAGCUUUAACAUGUUUUUAUCACGUUUCUUCUGUAACUUUUUGAACUUCUUUCUAACCACAUCAUGUACUGUUAACUGAUCUAUUGUUCCCCACUGGGAAGGUUCCAGAUUAAAUGAGCUCUCUUCAAUUUCAACUUUCACAUUUUGCAGCUUAAAAAACUCUGAUGGUGGCUCCCCAGCCUUUAGUGACUGUUCUGUAACAUCUUCUGAUGCUGAUACAACACUCUUUGAAGGCUUUAAGCCAUUCUUGUUUCUUAAAAGCUGCAAAAAUUUGGUCUUCAAUGGCCGUAAUUUAUCAUAAACUAUGUCUGUCUCUUCUUUGGUGCAUUGAAAAUUCAAUAUAUGUUUCGCUAGAUUAAGAGAAUCCCUUCGAUCAAUUUUUUCUUUCAUGAUUGAAGCUGCAAUCCAACACUGGAAAAUAAAGUAAUGAAACAUCAUAUUAUUAUAAUCAUUCCCAGAGGCAAAAACAUUGACACUCAUCAGCCUUCUUUAAACUUCAAUAAAUUUGUAUGCUUGCAGCUGAGCAUGCAAAAGAGAUUACUCAUCCACAAAAGUUCUGCAUGUUCAGAAGCCACUGGAUGGCCAACUACGAGAUGCUAAAUGCAUUCAGAGUAGUUCUACAUAAUGAUACCAUGAUAAAUAACUAUAUCACAUUAUGGUCAAAAGAAUGUCUUCACGAAGUGCCCACGCAUAAAAAUGUCACUUCCAAUCAAAAUCUCACACAGUAAAUAUCAACAGCAUAUGUCCAGCCGUAAAAUCAAUUAAAUUGGCUCAAAUCAUUGGUAUACAAGCACUAGGAUAAAAUUGCUUAAUGCGACAAUAAGAUGACACACUUAUUUUAACGAGAUAGACUUAGAGCAGAGGGAAUCUAUAGACCCAUGGAAGUGCUUGACUGUUAGCAAAUCCAAGCAAGUGAUAGAUAAGAAUAGAGAGGAGCACCUACUACAUUUACUAAUGUCAAUCUUCAGAAUACUGCCAUGGAUCUUCUUAGGGGGUGUUUAUUCAUGCUCCAGAAUUGGAAUUGGAAACAGAAUGAUAUAAAGAGAAUCGGCAUGGGUAUAAAUGACUGGGAUCAUUGUAAUUAUUAGUGCUUGGUACAAAAUCCAUUGGAAUGGGACUCAAAAUUAAUAUUUUGUUUUUCUUUUCACAGUAUGUUUCCUCUGCUUAUAUCAAUCUUGAGCCUUUUUUGGUUUUUUACUCUCCAAUCACCAAUCAACAGCAUAAACUCCCAAAUAGAAGAUUUGGCAAGUUCGUCUUUACAUUUCUCCUUGCCAAUAGUUGGAACCUGGAACACGAGUAGAAAAAUCCAAAAAUUAUCCAAGGAACCAAAUAGCAAUUUCCAUCCUCCAUUGAGAUUUAAUCUCCAGCAGCCCCAAAUAUUGUCCACCUAAUGCCACAUCUCAAUGUUGCUAUGAGCCAUCACUUUGAUUUCACAAGGAGAAGGAAGAAGUCAAUUGGGGUAAGGAUUGGGGAUGACUUGACAGUAAGUGAGAAGUGGUGUGUUGAAGGGAAGACUGGUCAAUGCUAAAGGUGGACGGAGGAUGAGAAAUCGGAGGGAAAAGGGGCAUACUGGAGGUAAGAAGAGGGGAAUUUUUGGAGGAGAGAAGAGGAAUGUGUUUACUGGGGGUGAAAGGGGGGGGGGAGGAGAGGAAAGGGAGUAGGAAGGAGUCGGUCAGAGGAGAGAGAAGGGAAGGUGAUUGAUCGAAAAAAAGGUUUAAAAAACUUAUUUUGGAAUGAGAUGGAGCAUUUGACAAAACCUCCCAACUUACUCAGGAAUGAGAGUUACCAAGUUUUUAGAAAUCAUUCCAAAAUUCAAACCCCAUACCCAUUCGCCAAACAUAAAUAUUGGACAUGAUUCCAAAUCCUGAUUCUCAUAUCCUUGAACCAAACGCCACCCUAAUUCAUGCCAUGAGACCAAAAGCGAUCCUCUAAGGGUCUCUACUUUACAUUCCUAACCCCCAACUGAUUCACAACUGUAUAUCAACAGAUAUUGCAGAAAGAAAGACCAUGCAAAGUAAUAGACUGUAUAAAGAAAGCUUCUACUUAAAGAAAUUUAUAUGCAUGUCAAGUUGUUUCAUUGAGUAAUUAUGAUAUCAGAAAAUAAAACUCUCAUGGUACCGAAUCUUUCUAAUUGCAUGACCCUCAAUGCAUAUCAACAUUACACACUUUAGUAGCUAAUUAAACCAUAGAAGGCAUUCAGGGAAAUGACUCCAUAAAAACCCAAGGAAUUGGCAAACAUUCAUACAUAACUGCACCUGUCUUCUUCAUAACCAGCCUGAUAGGUAACUCUGUUAGGAAAUUAGAACAAAUAAUAUUUAAGACACUAGCUAAUAUGAUGAUAUUUGACAAUGUUAUGAUCUUGGCAUGCUGAUUAGUUCAUGGAAGACAUGCAAGGGUAAUAAGAAAAUACUACAGGACUAAAGCCUAUGAGGACUAUGAACUGAGCAUUCCUUUCUCACAACUUCUAGUACUGCAACAUACAAAAGAGAUUGAUAAAUCAGCAAAACCUGCCUAAAAAAGAGGAAAUGGGUUGCCCAACUAAUGCUACCACGGGUAGUGGAUCGUUAAGAUAACAAACUGAACUCAAGGCAAACCAGAGAUGGCAACUAAAUCUACAAUCCAUGGAUACUGAACCCAAUUCAUCAUUCUGAAGCAUCACCCUUAAACUUGUAGGAUAUUUUCCCGCUCAAUCUUUUGGUGGGAAGAGGGAAGUGUGGGUGGCAAAGAGGAGUUUCUCACGUAAAUGUCCCUAGAAGACUAGAAGAAGAAUGAGUAAAUCAUCUUCCUUGAAGAUGGGUGUGGAAAGGUGGGAUGCAUAGCUGCCCGCAUUUCAAUAAAAUGUUGCCCCAAAAAAAGAAAAAAUCGUUUUGCAAUUUCUCUUGCACUAUUAAGCCCUAAGUAUCCCAACCAUAAAGUUAGUUGGAAAUGUCUUCCACAGAAUAAUUUGAAAAAUUAGGGUAAUGUAACGUCAUCUGUGUCAGUAAGCAUAAACAAACCAGGCUGCAACAGUUGAAACUUAGGAUAAGUGUUCUUUUAAUAGUGAACCCACUUAGGUAUCAUCUAAGGGAAUGACGAAUAAAUGAUCAGUCCAGAGCACGACACAAAAGAUAGAUGAGGCAGAAAAUACGAACCAGAGACAUCUGAAAAGCCUGUAGGAUAGAGGCUUGUUCCUUGUUAACAUGACGAUUCUCCAUGACAUACUCCAGAAAGUUUUGUACCAUAGAAUUCACACCAUUCUGCAUUUAGAAAAGUGGACCACACAUUAGAGACUGCAAAAAAAAAGCAUUUCAAACAGCCAAACAUCAGAAUUAGACAUACUAGGUGCUUGGACAUACUUGUCUAACCAGCAGGGACAUUUUAGUUCAAGACAAAUAAUGAUCCGCAUAGGAGAAUAACAUGGAAAGUAACCAUUGGCUUCAACUAAACUAGAGGAAGAAUUGUCAAUGAUGGACAUAAGUUAAAAAUGGAAAAUUCGUGGCAGUACUUGACACUGAAUUUCCACACAAGUGCAGAAUCAGCAUCCCAGAUAACAGAAUAGGCAUACUACAAGUGCAUGCAGUUGAUAUAAUUGGAGGUGCAAACCACAAUGCUCCACAGAGAUUGUGCAGUUCCAUUUUUUCCAAUGUAUAGCAAAUUACCAUGCGCUGUCAUCUUCAAGACUAUAAAGAAACUACCUCAGCUAAAAGAGUUCAUUUACCAAACAUUAAUCAGCAACUGGAGGCAAGCAUGAAAAGUUUUCUGAAGCAAAUCAAGCUGCUUCCCAUUCCCACCAUAGGAAUGCCAUUGACCAUAAGUCUUCAUAUAGGCAAAACCGAGAUGAAGAAACAAGCUUGAAUUUCAAACAAAAUGUCCAGUUGACACCUUAAUAACACUGCAAAAGGUUCUGCUAGAUUCUUACAUCAACAAACAUGAUUUCAUUUUACAUUUUUAUUUAAAAUUGGCUGCCAUUCCUAGGUUUUUUAAUCUAAGCAUUGCACUACAAACCACCUCCCAAAGAUAGCAUGUAAUUUUGGGAAUGAGUUAUAAUAGUAAAAAAUGGAAAAGGAAAUUAUUAGAGGCCAAUGACUACCCAUCACAUGCAAGUAAUCUCUCAGAAUAAUAAGAAAGAAAUACGUACUUAAACAAUCACAUUCUGCUCUAUAAUUCUUCAUAAAGCAUUUCACUAUCCAAGCACUACCCAAGUCAUCAACCUUAACUCCUAAUAUCCAAAUAUCAAUGAACAACAAAAAGUGGAGAAAGUUUACUACAAGUAGAAUUCAACAUUAUCCAGCCUUAAUAUUUCUUAUCAUCCAUCCCAGCCCGUACCAGCUCACUCAUUCCUAAGCCCAAUCCAUGCCCCAUAUAUGUCAAAAAGAAAGUAACAACAAAAAUGGGAAAAGAAUGUGAUAUUUACCGAAAGCUUUAGAACAUCACAAAGUUUAGCCAUCUCUGCUCUCAGAAGAAUAUGAAGGCUCUUCUGUUCAUUUGGUGUUCUUUCUUCAAGAUGAGCCAUGUCACUCUCAUGUGAGAAAGGAUUCUCACCAGAAAGAGGAAUAGCUUUGCUUGCAUCGCCCAAUGUACAAGAAACUGAUAUUGGCAAAGACUCAGAUUGAUUGGCAGCUGCAGACACAGAUGCCUCUGCUUAAGUAUAGACCCUCUCACCAAUCAAAGAGAUGAAACAACUUAACUAGGAAGAAGAUGAAGUAAAUAAAAGCUUUCGAUUUAUCAAGUAUGACAGUGAGCAUUUCCUGUAACAUUUACCUGCCUUUGAUCCUGGAGCUUGAAUUCUUUCUUCAAGCUCAGGUUGAAAAGAUGGAGAAUCAGAACCAUCUAACACCUUCUGGUGCUUCUUUGCAGGUUCAUCAUUCUCAGCAUAAUGAACUCUCUUCCUGCUUCUCAAAGUUGAUCCAGGCAACAAUUUCCACCGAGGAUUCCGUCCCUCCAACAGCUUCUUCCAGUAUAUCUGGCGUUCUUCUCCAUCAGCUGACUUAACCUCUCUCUCCCCAGGCAACAAACAAUCUGAAUGGUAAACACCCUCACUAUGAAAAACUUUUGAAAUUAUAGAAUCAUGUUCAUUGUUGUUCUUAGAAACAUCGAGAAGUUUGGCCAUGAAAUCCUUAACAAUAUCAUCCAAUAGGCCCUGUUGUCCAGAUGAAACAUCGGCAGCAGAUGCAGUGCUCUUUUCUGCAUGAUACUUGUCCAACCUCCUAAACAAAUAUGAGGCACCCCACAUGAGAAGAGUGUCAUCAGUAGCACGACUUGUGCUUCGCAAGUUACUUUCAACAUUCUUGUUGUGUUUUGCAAGUAUCAAUACUUUUUCUUCAAAAGUAUACGAUGAAUAGAGCCUAAAAACUUUGAUCUGGUCACUAUGUGAAAUGAAGGAAAUUCGUUGUAGAGCCUUCAUGUCAUUUGCAGGAUUCCAGUCAGUAUCAAACAAGACAACAAUGUCCACUGACAACUUGAUGCUUGGCAUACAAGCCCGAAUGUCUAACAAAAACACAAACUCUCCGCCUUCCUUACUGUUGAACCUGUCCAUAGUAGCCUGUCUUUUUGUCGGUAUGUCAAAAGUUGCUCCAAAACCCUCGUAAGAAUUUUGUCCGAACCUUUGAGCCAGAAAAUCUUCCAAUAUGCUUCCAAUAGGUGUUCCCUCAGAACUGCCAUUUGACUAUCAUUGGAAAGGGAAAACAAAAGCAAAUUAUAAGCUAUGACAGAAGAAGGUAACAGGUCUAUCCCAAAAUGCAUAUGCUUGAAAAUGAUUCCCCAUAGAAGAACGCAAGCUGUCAGUAAAAGGCGCAACAAUACACUAUGCAAACACGAUGAAUCCUCCUCCAACUUCAAAUAAAAAGAAUGUAUUUCCAAUUCCCCUCCAUGUGUAUAUCUUCAUGCAUGUGAAAGACCAUUAAAAGAAUGAUAAAAGAAUGUCUGCACAUAUGCAUGUGUGUGUGAGAGAGAGAGAAAGAGAGAUCUGGAGUUUAACAAAUGAAACUGAACCACAAUAAUACAGUUGCAGCCAUAACUCAACACUUCCCCAAGUAGAAGAAAGUCAAAGGCCCAAGAAACCUAAGACGCAACCAUCAAAAGAAUCGCGAAUAAACAUUAAUUGACAAACCCUAGAAAUAAUGUGUUCCUUACGGAUCCAGAUGUCCCAUAUAGUACAAAUAAAAUUUGGCCCAAAAAAAAUCAAAUGGGAAAAUAGUUCACACAGAUUCUGUGACCACAUGCGAUGACAUUUACUGAAAUACUCAACAGUCCACCUGGCACUCCAAAGAAAAUAAAAUCCGAGAUACUAGUAUACUCCAGAUUAUUACACCUGCUGCUUAACAAACAACCACAUUAAUUUACUAUACUGCUCCAAAAUAAACUACAGCUAUUCCUUCCUGUCAACCACCAAUUCAAAAGGGAAUACAGGUAAGAUUGUUAGAGGGCCACUAAUAGAAUUUAAAAUAGAAUUUAACUGUCUUACAGAAUGACUUCAAUGCCAUAUUGUAAGAGAAAGCACUUACUCUUCUUAUAUUUUUCAACCAAAGUCUCCAUAUCCUGCUUUGCCUCAGCUAUGUUACCACUUCCAAAAAUUGGCUCAUACGAAAAACUGAAGGUUCUUUAUACUUCCACCAAAAUCAGAAGAUCAAGGUUCAAUGCUGACAGCAGGGUUUUAACUAGAAAGGGGAAGGUUGUAUACAACUAGCUUUAGGAAGAAGCCAUGCAGACUAGAUCGGAUCUAAUAGAAUAACAAAUCUGUCUUGAGAAAAAAAACAAGAUUACAAUAAUUCUUCUCCAUUUUAUCCCCACAAAAUUUACUUCAACACCUUUCACACUUGAGGGAAUCAUGAAUGAAGAUGUAAAUUAGAAAAAAAAAAAAAAACCUCUCAAAGAAUUUGCAUCAUUCACAAAGAUAAAAGGCUUCAUAUUUAAGGAUCUAUGGACAAGAAUUUGCCGAACAUGAAGGAGACAAACCCUAGAGACAACCCCUUUUUUGGUCUCUAAAUGCAAACUUAUUCCUCGGCAAACCAAAAGAAUCAGCACUUAAAGGUGUAUCAUCACAAAUGCUGGACCAAAGCAGAGCAAGGGGUAGGCACUCCCAAAGUUCCAUGUGAUAUAAGUACAAAACCAAAGGAAUCAAUUCCUCAUCUCCUUUUGCAUUCUUCUUGUUCAUGGGAUGGCAUUGAAAAUGCAACUGCGCUUUGAAAAGGGGCAGGUUUUACUGAUCCCAAAAUGUUCAGAAAAUUCUUUAUACGCUCUUUGUGGUGACAAGAAGGGAAAGAAAAUGACAGGAGGUAUUCACCAUUUGGAAGGAAGUAGGAAUAAUAGGAGGGAAAACAAAUAUGAGCUCCUCUUUCUUUGUCAUACUUUUGGUUCACUUGUUUUCUUGCACUAAGAAAAAUUUCCACUUCAGACAUAUCCUCAAACAACUGCUGUUUCCUUAGAUUACAACAUCCAACAAUCAGGAUGAUGUGCUUGAAACCAAAUAUAGCCACCGCCAUCGAUCUGUCUUAAAAGGGGUUCAAUCCUAGUCACUACCAUUCCCUGCCUGCUAUUUCCUCUCCAACCACCCUCACCCCAAAAAAAAAUUGUGUUCUUUGAAAGAAAAAGGGAAAAUUCAACAACAGCAGCAGCAGCAGUAGCAACAAAAAAAUAAUUUCCCGGAGACAGAAAGUUCCACAAUUGUAUGUCAACAGAAUAGACAAAUUAUAUACCUGGAAAAGGAUGAGAACUCUAAGCUUCCGUCUUCUAAUCUUAGAAAGAAUCAGAUCAAGAAGAUGUAGUUUGCCACUAGCCGUUAUUCCAACAUCCAACAUCUCAGGUGCUUGGAGUCCCUUAAUGACUGAGGUUUUAGUAUACAAGUCCACAGUAUAGGGAUGACUACAACACUGUAAAGGAAAACCAGAAAUGAAAAUUAAAAUAUUUCCAGUUCAACUGUAAGAAGACUACAUAUGUUUUUAGCACGCCUUCUCUAAUUAUUAGAUGUAAAAGAGGAAAUCAAGACAGGUUCCCUUAAAGAGAACAAAGACAGCAUAUUCGAGCUAGAUAACAUGAAUGCAAACACAUAUGGGUGAAAAUAGCAUUGCGUACUGUAAAACACAGAAAAAAUUAUAUGCAAAGCUGCAAACCGAUUGUGUAUACCUUCCGAAGUGUCUUCAGAAUAUCUAAGAGGGCCCCAACACCAUCCCUCUUUGAAGGAGAGCAAAGAGCAAUAGUGUUUGUAACUAGCGUGGAACAGUACUGCUCCAGCUGCAAGUUUGAUAUCGGAACAGGAACCCAGUACUCCACAAACUUAGAAGACCCAAAUUUGCUUCCAUAUGCUGUAAAAUGUGAUAAGCUCUCCUUCAGUUUAACAAGAUUAUCACUCAGGUUCAACUUCAGAUCUCCAGAAGAAUCAAGCAAUGACAAAACAUACUGGUACUCAGCUACAACAUCCUGCGCAUUUUGGAAGGUUUUACAGCCCCUUUAUUUCCCUCUCUUAAAUCUCCUUCACAUUCCACACGAAUCAAACAACUAGAAAAAGCUAAAAGGAGAAAAGUACCUUUAGUUGACUGCUAAAAAGAAGCAGCCUCACAUUCGUUUGAAGCACCUUAAUAAGUGCCACAUUUGUGUUCAUACUCCUAGAUUGGCACUCAUCAACUAUAACUGCUUCCCAUUUAAUCUCUUUAAAAGUUUGUAAAUCCUGCAGCCAAUAGCAAAACCAGCACAAAUCAAAGACCAUAAAACCCAUCACUGUACCAGCACUUUUUCUUCCACACAAAAUUUCCCACAUUCCCAACACCCCAUCUAUACUGUAAAAAUAACAUCCGACUUGCAAAGAAUCUUACACAGAAUAUUCAGUUGCUGCCACAACCUAAAGAAGUAGAACUCAAUCCCCAAAAAUUUUGUGAUUACUAACAACUUGGACACAGAACCAAUUAUCAUCUAAAUGUUCUGUGGCCUAAAAGAUUGUGCAGCAAUGUACUGAAACAGGACCAUACCUCACUAACAAUUUCCAUAGUAGAUAACAAUACUUGAAGCAAUAUACCACCACUUUCAUCAUAGAACUCCAGUGUCCUGAUGAUGCUCCUGGUAUCCCUAUUUCCACUGUAAACUACGACAUCAACUGACGGUGCUAUUCGCAUAAAUUCAACUUCCCACUGGGACAAAGCAGCGGAAGUUGUAACAAUGAGAAAAGGCUGAUGAUGUUCAGACAAUGCUUUGAUGAAUAAGAUCACAGUCUCCAAUCGAUCCUGCGAAGACAUAGUCAAUGCUACAUCUUAGCUUUCUUGAGGAAAAAUAAAUGCCAAAAGUUCAGCCUUCCUACUCGAGACACAAAGAUGAUCCAUUAACAGCAAACUGCUAUAAAGAUACUGAAAGUAGCAGCAAUAAUAGUUUACAGGAAGCAAUUGAGACUCCCAUCAAAGACAAUCAAGCACCACAUUCGAUACACAGUAAGUGCACAAAUAAUCCAUAUGCAUGAUAAUACUGCAUUAGCUUUCAAUGGAGAAAAUCAGCGGGAAAUUCAUCAAGAGAAAGAGUAGCUGAGUCAACAGCAGGAGACACACCUUCAGACUUAUACCCAAACUUUCACUGACAUCAAGAAAAACAAUUAAACCUCCACCUCAACUACAUCUCAUUGAUAGAAUUAACAUUUUCCAUGAAUUUCCUCAUUGCAAGAAAGGAAAAUAAAUAAAUAAAAAGUGGCUACUAAAAAAUUACCCACAAUACCAUAAAAUUGCUAAUAGUUUACCUACAAUACCACAUAUUAGGUUAUUGUUGGUACACAGAAAACAACACAUCUACUCUCAUGCCAGCUCUAAAGCAGCAUAGAGCACAAGCAAGUUCUAAGUGCCUUACAGAUAUCCAGAAACUUCCUGCAAAUUCACUGUUCUACAGAAUAGAUGGGUAAAUAUUCACUAACACAUUUUACAGGGCUAUCAAAAGGAAAGGACAAAUGAUUUCCAAAUAGCAGUACAACAGACAAAAGUCACAAACUCACUCAAUAAAAGUAAAGACACGAUAAAGACCUAUGCACCUGAAUUCUAAUCAACAACCAACAAAUCACAAAAUCAACCAAAUAGGCUACUUUCAAGAGGAUUGAUCAAUUAAACCAACUGCAGUAGCCAGCUCUUACACCUUACCAGACAAUUGACACAUCAACAUCCAAAAGUUUAAUCGCCUAUUUAGCUUCGAAUAAUGUUGUUUUCAAAAUAUAAUGAAGCUAAAAAGUGCACUAAGCAAAAAUAAAGAUUAACUUGUAAGUUUUUUAAUCAGACAUUUUCUACCGUUCUGUACAACCAGGAGGAAAUAAUACAGACCUAAAACAGUUGCAGCAGUACUUGAAUCAAAUCAAUGAUGUAUCAACUCCGAAAAUUUCACGAGCAUUCAAUACCUAUUCAGCAAUUAAGUUACUGCAACCCCUAAUGAUGAAUGGUAAUGAAUAGUCAUUCAGAUGUCUGUUGUUGCAUCACGCUCUGGGUCUCAUCCUCACAAUUUCAUGCAGUUCAUGUGUACUUAAAAAAAGAGAAAGAAAUUCAUAGUCUGAAGUUUUCUUUCUAAGAAGUCAGUAAACAAGAACAGCUUCUUCUUUUGAGGCACAACUUUUAUCUUUUGUAACUAUAAUAUAAUAGAUAAUGAUAAGUUUGAUAAAAAGUUUGAAUAUGACUACUUUAAGAACUCAGUACUGUUGCUGAAUUAUUACAAAAAUCCCUCCCUCUGAAAUCACUUCUAAAAUCAAAUUGCCUUUUGAGCAACAGCUAAUAUUCUUUUAUUAGAGGUGUGUGUUCUGUUAACAAGAGAAAAUCUGACUGAGAAUCUGCAAUUACAAUUGUUAUGGUAUACUUGUAGUUUUUAACAUCCUUAUGUAUAGUUAACCAGUUUCCCAAAAAAUACUGCAAAUUUUAAAGGACACAAGUUGCAGGAAAAUGCAGGAAACUUUUUACUGCCUUCCUGCCAACAAGACACCUUAUAAAAAGAAAAUAACUCCCUUCAAUAUCCUACACUUCUUCUUGCAACCAAAGGUUACGUAAAUGUUCCAAUCAUACAACUGAACAAGCCCAUGCUAACACCUUAAGCCUCAAGGCAGCUAUUAUUACCAGAAAAGGGACACUUGUAAACACAUCCGUUGGAUUUUCAAACAAAAACAUAACUAUUUAAAGAUUUAGGCUAAAGAUCUGUGACUUGAGCAAAUGGAACCAGAAAAGAAAUUAUGUAUGCACAACAUUAAAUUUCAUCUGGUCCAAAUUUGCAUGUGACAACACAGCCAUGAAAGCAGGUAGCUGACACUAACUCUGAAAUUUCAUAGGCAGGGCGAACAUGUGGACUGCCCUAAUGCAAAAAAGAUUAAAAAAAGCAAAAAAUGAAAGAAGCAGAAAGAAAGAAACUCGAGCAUAGCUGUCUCACAAGCUCACCUGUUCAUCAAAGACAACAGCACUCUGGUUCUUACACCAAAACUCCUGCAGCUUAUUCACAUUGUUUAACAUAUUGUCAUCAGCUCUAAAUGAUCCUCCUGGUGGAAGUUUCUGCAGUUCAGUAAAAGCUCCCUUUGCACUCUGCAGUAUCAGCAAGCAAAGACAAAUGAAAAUUGCAACUCUGUCGCGCACAACUCUUUACACUUCAUAUUUUCACCACAAAAAAUUUUUGCCAACAAAACUCACUUUCGGUACAAUGACAAGUGAACAUAAGCAUCUCAAUAGAUGAAAUAGAGAGCAGUUAGUAACAUACAGCCUCCAUCCCAUUUUAUAUGUCAUGGUCAACUUUGCACAAAGAUUAGAAAAAGUAACUUUGACCAAAACAUAUCAACUACCAAUGCAACUCUUUCCAUUAUUGCCCCUCAAACUCCAAUGUUAUGUUAGUUGACUAUGGAAUAUUAGAAAAGGAAUAACUACCAAAAAUAUGAAGAUGAUUUGUAACCUUAUUUACUGAAGGAACAUCGCUAAAAUAUUUUUUUUGGGGAAUUGUAUGAAGGGUACAAUAGGAAAGUUGAGCUCUAUUUAUUUCCAUUUUUAAACCAUAACAAUUAUUUUAGGACAAAGCAAAAUAGUAACCAGGAUAUGAAAAGCAAGAAGCAUAGAAGUCUCUGCUAUAAAGACUCUCCACUUAAGAAACUCCUCUUUUGUGUAUGCAUAUUUAUAUGCAUACUUUUCAACAAUAAAUACCCUAAGUGGAAAUUAGCAUGUAUUUCUAGGUGAAGACGAUACUAAAACUUUAUGUUGAGGGAGAACCGAUGAUAAUCUCCAAACCAGAUUCAACACAAUUAUGCAUCCAGGAACCUGGCACGCCAUAUCAAGGUGAAACCUUCAAAUUUUACUAAAGUUUCUGGGGCUACAUUCCACUAAGGAGAAACUAAAGGCCAAAGUUAAUGCAUCCAUGAUCCAGCUCAACAUCCAAUCACUUGUUGAGACAAAUAUCCUCCAGCUCUUUAAAAAAAUACCCAGACAAACUAAAGAGAAAAUGCAACACACAUGAAGAUCCACUCUCUCAGCGAUGGACAGCCUCAGAAAGAACUUAGAUCCAAAUCAGCAAGAAAGUUCUCAAGAAAGGAGGUAAAAAUAAAGAAAAUACUGAUGCCCAGCAUGCCAAUUUACAGGCAUUUUGUUGAUCCAACAAGCACUUAACAAGAUAUCAACUUAAAACAAUUUAAAGUACGUUGCACAUUUAACAGUGUAAUUAAAGUCACCUUGUCAGACACUUUUCUUGUCUUCUGAUGACGAAUUUCAUACUCUCUCACAAGUCUCUGACCUUGAGGUGAACGUAGGAACUUCAUGCUAUCAACCUCCCAUGUAGCAUGCUCAUAAUCAAGCCCACGCCAUUUGACAAGCCAUUCAAAUUGGCAAUAGGGAACAGCAUCAUUGUUUGAACUUGGAUACUCCUCCUGAUGGCUAAAGGACAUUAAACGUCUCUUUCUAAGCAAACGAUGUGGCAAUCUCCACUCUGGGUUCCAUGUAACAAUCUGAAGCCCAAAAAUAGAAUCACCAUAUAUCCGGAACAAAGUAUAGUAAACUUUUAAGCAGAGUAAAUGAUCCAAUUACUUUAAGCCAUGAAAAUAUUGACCUGAUACUCUCUAUUAAACUUUUCAACCAGAGAAGGAGAUUCAUGAAGCAUCAAUGUUUCUGAUACCCAAUGAUUGUAAAAGUGAGCAAGACCUUGAUACUUAACAAGAUACUGCUUCUGCCUACGUAUCCCUGAGAAGCAAUAAAGACAAAAAUGGCAUAACAAGAAUAAUUCCUAAAUAAAUCACAGUCAAGUAAUAGAAAUCAUUUCUGAACAUCAUGCCAAAUAUUUUUGUCCCACGAAGCAAUUUAAAACAAAGGAAUCAGACCAGACCUUUCAUAUCUGAAACUACAACUUCUCUAACAUCCCAAAUGGACUCUACUCCUUUUGACACUGUAUGGACACCAAAUUCUAUCUUCUUCUUAACACAGGAUGCACAGUGCCAGACUCCAGGUGUUUCAUCAACUAAAGAAGGAUCCAGACAAGAGACAUGGUAGCAUCUUCUACAACUUUCUCCAUUGCAGCACCUAAAAAGUAAGCAAAACCGUCACACAGUUUGAGGCAUCUUCUAAGGUCAAACAGAAAUCACAGGAGAAGGAAUAAAUCUGCUAAAGCAAUAAAAAGCGAAUCUAUUUUAGUGUCAAAGGGUACCCCAUAAGCAGCAGUACAAACACAUUAACUCCCUUACUACAAGGUGAAACCACAACAAAGCUAUAUUAAGCUUGAAAAGGCACAAAAAGGGACAUACCCACACAAAAGAAAAAGUACCAGAUGCAAUCUAGUCCAAGACAUUUUCCCAAAUUGUCUAAACAAUAAAAGCAUAAAAGCAUAAUUUACCACAGGAGCUUCCCCCCCUUCUUGCACAUCACGCACACAUUUUGAACAUCAGUCUUGGUGACUGAAAGAGUCUCCUUUGAUCUUGGAAUGCAUUUGCGGCUCCCAACUGAUUCUGAAUUAAAGGCAGCUUCAAGAUUUCCACUAUCCUAAAAUUUUACAGAGUCAAAAAAAGAAAAUCAUCACUCAUAAUGAGAUCAUAGAAUGCGGGUGUAUAACAAAAAGUGGACAACAUUGCAAUAGCAACUUAUACAAACAUCCACGUUAAAGUUUUGCAUGGUAAAAUACUCCCAUCAAUAACGUGGCUUAAAAAGAUAGCAUGAGUGCAGGAAGAAUGAUGUAACAAAAAAAUAAUGACCAUAAUUAAAGGAGAGAAAAGAGAACCUAAGCUGCAAUUUCCCAUGUAAAACACCAAGAAUUAUAACUUAAUAAUUAAGUUCAGAAGUUAAAUUCAUUCUUACGAAUAAAAGAAGCAAAUGACUGAUCAGAACAGCAUGACAGUGCAAUUGAGGGUGUUAAACUACAGCUAAAACAAAAGACAUCUCAAAUCAUCAUAUAAGGAGCCUAUGCAAUUGAGUAAAUUCACUUGACCAGGUAGCUUACCAUAUAGUCAUGUGCUUGACAAAAAAAUUGGGCCCCAAGCUUCGCAAAAGAGCUACAUGUACCAUGCAAAGAGCUGAAUGCAAAAGAAUUGGGCCCCAAGCUUCGCAAAAGCUACAUGUAAUCCCUUAACACUUCCUUUUUGACCAACCAAAUUGAGUGAAAAGAAAUUGGCCAAUUUUUAAUGAGAUAAAACCAUGUGAUAGCAUGCAAAUUUUAACUAUCAGCCUUGGCAAUUAAGCUGUCAUGCCACGGCAGCAAUUCAAGCUUAUUCUUAAAAUUCUUUGUUCAUCUUUUUCACAGCAAUUACGGUAAAAUCACAUUCAGAAUAAAGCAAUGCAUCUGUUACGUUGUGCUAUUAUGACCAUAGAGCAAAAUUCAUAACAUUACUACAAACUAACCUUAUUUCUUGAGAUGUCACCUGAGGUACAGCUCAGAGUAGCUCCGCAAGAACAAAGUUCCUCUUUUGGUGAAUCAUAAUCUGACCUGCCAAAAAAAUGAUAUACUAUGGGUCCUGGAUGUACAAAGCCAGUCGAAAAACAAAGAUAGCAGUAGCACCCAACAACUUUUCCAGUGUGCAUUAUCUCUUGCUUUAGAUACCGUACAGCCUAGCAUAUAAUCUACUGAUAACCAGUAACUUGCAUUUUGAAGAAAAAUUGAAAAUUUUCAUACUGCAAGAUGUAACAGCAAUAUGAUCCGAGAAUAAAAGAACAAUCAGGCAGAACUGACAAUACAGAGAAACAAUGCCCUCUUACAGCCAAAAAAGACGAAUUAGCUCAAUUUCUUCUUUCCAAAUGAUAAGAAAAGAGAAAAUUUGACUGCCUUUGAAUCAGCAAUAUGAUCCAAGAAUAAAGAAACAACCCGGCAGGUCCAACAAUGCAGAGAAACAAUACCCUCUCACAACCAAAAACAACAUGAAUUAGCUCAAUUUCUUCUUUUCAAGUAAUAAAGGAAGGAAGAAAUUUUGAUUGCCUUUACUUUUUCCUCAAGCAUACUUAAUUGCAUAUAUAAUAACAGAUCAAGAGCACAAAAAACCUAAUUAAGAAAGGUACACCUAUCAUCUUCAGUAACUCAAGCAUAAGCUUUACAAGUAAGAUGGAGUAAAUUUACAAGCUUAUUAAAGCCUUUCAUAUAUGAUGAAUAUAAGCAAGAGUUCACCAUAGAUUUGUACUCAGUCAACCAAAAUCACACUUAGUAAGAAAUACACCAUUUAGAGUUAAUGAUACAUUUGUACUCAUUCAAGGAAAGUGCACACUUAGAUGGCUGUGCUAAAUGCUAUCCUGUACUAAAAUCUGUAUCACCACAAAUGAAGGCACAUCAAACACUAUGAAAACCUCGUUAAAAGAACCCAUCUUAGCCAGACAAUCAACUCCAGUAUUCCUGUCUGAGUAAACAUCCAUGAACACUUGGCAAUCCUCGACGAUAGUGGCAGCUAGUUUCCAUGCAUGGUUACCUUUAUUUAAUAGAUGGGCUGCUAAAAAAGUUGAUAUGAUGCCUAUAAUACAGCUAGAAAGGACAUCUCAUGAAAAGUAAGACUACUGACAGAUCAUGAAGAAACUGUUUUGCCAAAAGGUAUCCCUGAAAAUAUAUGACUAGGAAGACCAUGAAGACAAGUGUUCAUCCAAAGUUUAUUGUGCCAUCCACCUGCCAGUUUACAAUUUUAAUUUGUUUGGAUUGUAGUUUAUUUGACAAUUUUAUUUACUUAAAUCAACACAUUUUCCAACCACCUUUUUAUCUCACAUACAUCACAUCAAAAAUGUGCUACGGUAUUUUUUUCAAAAAAUUAUUCCAAAUAAUCUACUAUCCAAACACACUCAAUAUAUUUUCAAAACGCACGUUAUAAUUUAAUAAAGUGCUGAAGUAUGUUGCUGCGGUAGAUUCAUAAAUCUCUUUCAGGUGAACUAAGGUAGUAUCAGAAGUUAGGAUUUCCAUUUAUGAGAAAUUCUUUCAACCCUAUAUGGAGUUAAGUUUUAUAUAUGACGAAUUGCUGAAAUUUUCUUUCAGCCUCCAGAAACAAGAUAAUACAUGAAAGUGCUCUCCAGUAAUCUGACACCUAUGGCAUCCUUAAUUGGGAGGAAAAGACAAAGGACUCUGCAAAUGGUUGGAAUGUCUGAACCACAGGGAUAAGCAACAAGGGAAUUCAAAGAAGCAGUAAUGAAAAUUCACUAUACUGAUGAGCUGUUGAAGAAAGUCCAUGACCUUGGGAACCUAUCAGCACGUAUAACCGAGCUAAGGUAAAGGCAUUGACAAGAGAAAAGAUUGAUAACUCAAAAGAACAAGAGGUUGACAAUUCCAUUGGCUUAGCAGCAUCUAAAAGCAUCAAAAAGCAAUAGGAAGAACUUCAGCUCUGUUUACUUGAAGUUCAGAAUGACAUCAAAGCAGAUCCUGGAACGAGAGAUUAUGUAAAGAAGAGAUUCUGGAUCAUUAUUUCCAACAGCAACUUAGGAAGCCAAAGCAAAAGAUGUAACAGUAAGACCAAGCACCAUGACAGUACAGCAACCUACACCGUAAAAUGGGAUUAUACAACUGGUACUCUGUUAUACAAAUAACUCAUUCAGAGAAAACAUGCUCGUUAAAUGUGAGGAGUGAAACACCACAUAAAGAAGGGGACUGAAAGAGAUGGAUAAUUCUAAACUAAAACUUAAUAAAACCCAAACAAAGAUUGCAAAGGAAAGAUUUUAUCACAAAUAUGGAUGAUUUGCUCCAGUGACACUUGUUUAUCUGGGUUGCACAUCUCAGAAUGGGAGACUUUGAGAGAGAUGGAAAAAGUGCUUGUAAAAGGCUCGAAAUUGACCCCCCAUCCCAUCUGGCUUGAAGUUAAUAUAGAAUGCACUGGGAAAGGAGAAGGACAUACAUCAGGUGACUACUAAACUAGGAAUGCUUAAAUUUUUUGGAUAAAUCAGUAUCUAUUAGAGAGAUGAAUCAGGCUCCUUUCUCAAAAGAUUAACUUAAUAGGAAGAUGGUCAAUAUGCACAGGACUACAUUGGUAUUUAGGUCUAAACGAUGAAAGACCAGGAGCAAUGCCCUUAAUUUUCUGAACAAUACAAACAUAGCAAUAUACACACACAAAAAAAGUGCACACUUGAUGCAUGAUAAUAACCUCAUUUGAGAGCAUUUCAAAAAAUUUGCAAUGAAACAAAUGAUCCCCCAAAAUCAGGAUAUGCAAGGCUUUAUAACAAAAAGAGAGAGGAUCAAAGCACCUUCGCCUCUUACAGCAGACAGCACAGUUCCCAACAAAGCCAUAUAUAUCAUUCUCCCUGGAUGCUGCAGGAUCAGACUCGGCAACCGGAGCAGAGACAGAUUUACUAACAAGGAUUCCUGUGACAUCAGGCGCUACAUUAAUUGCAGACCCCUUUUCUUCUGAUUGCAUGCAUCGGGCACCACUUUCCAACUUAGUAUUACAACCAAGUGGACUCGCCAUACAAGUCAACGUCACCAUCUCAGGAAUCUGAGAAUUUCCAGUAGUAGAAUUAAUAUUGGGCUCAGAGAUCUUGGCAUCACAAUCUUUCAAACCAAAUGCAGCUCCUGAGACAGCUCUCUCCAAAGGUUUUUCUCUCAAGUCUUCUGUGACCCUCAUACCGCAUUCAUGUCCUUCAUUCUUGUCCUCUAAUUGUUUUAAACAACUCAUGUUACCACCACUAUCAACUUGAGGCAACACGUCAUGUCUUUCCAACUCGUCCUCCCUACCUGCAUGCAGUAAACAAUGACAAACAAGGAAGACAUUCAGGUCAACCAAAUCAGACUGUUACCACCCAGAAGCAGCCAAAAGUUAUAUGAAUUAUGAUUCAACUCCUUUCAACCAUCUCAAAUGUAUCAUAACAUACACUACAAACUGCUUUCAACCAUCUAAAAUGUAUCAUAAAAUACAUUAUGAUUAAUACCAAUGACCAAAUUAGCAAGAUCAUUCUCCACUCAGUUCAAGAUAUUGGAAUUAAUAUUAUAGACACUAACAUUUAUGCAGCAUAAAUUUAAAUGCUUGUAUCCAACAUAGAUACUGGAAAAAUAUACCGUGUGAAAAAUUCUAAGUUUUCAACAGUCAUCACAAUGUUAAGUGGCGGGCCUCGCACGAGAAAUUUGCCUACCUGAUGCUGAACAUAUUCGUUUUCGUUUGAACAAAGCCUUGUAACUGCGAGCAUCCAUUCUCUUCCUCUUUACACCAAAAGAUUCUUGGUUCCAUUUUUCGCCAUGGUUGACGUUUUCAGUUCCCAUCGUCAACUGCUUUACGCUCUUCUCUUUCUUUUCCCGCCUGCUCAUUCUGUCCGCUGAACUGGACACUUUCUCCAAGCUCUUUGAUCCAUAUGAAGUUGAUGAACCAAGUGCUCUACUCCUGUCAGACCUUCUUAAAGGACUUGGGGCGCUCUGUUUCUCCAGUCUCUCAGAUUUCCUGACAACCGGAAGAGGUGUUGAUGGCAUCCGCUUUUCAAGUCGUUCAGACUUCCUAGUACUUGAUGGGCUCGAUGUCAUUUGUCCUGAGGAUGAUGCACCCUGAGUUGUCUGCCUUAAACGUGAAGCAUCAACCUUUAACGUGCCAGAGUUCAAAGUUCCUUCCCCGCUAUCCAUACUUUUACCUGAGCUGUCACCCUCAAAAUCCUUAUUUCGCUGCCUAGAGCGAGCAUCAUUAGCCAUCCUUUCAGCUGCAAACCACUAAAUUGUUCAGCUUAACUAUUCCAAAAUACGAUACAAAAUUGACAAAUACAUUAAGGGCCUUAACAAUUAGGUAGUAGCAAGUGGUACACAUCUCCCUUCCCGAAUGCACUCUAAGCAUAAUACUAUAAACUAAAACCAAUGAAUCUCAAUCAAGCAUUAUGCAAAUCCUCACUAAAUUACAAUUUUCACCUCCCCUUCCUACCUAAAAAACUUCUUUCUUUGACAAAAAGAAAAAGGACAUGAUUGUAGAACUGCUUCUUCUAGCUUGGUGCCCUAAUACUUCAAGACUUGGGAACGAAGAACGAAGUGAUAGCACAAUGCAGGACUAUUAGGGCAAUUUCCAAAAGCCAAAUCAAAUCCAGUUAACAUUAUUUGAUUUCCAAGUUAAGAAAUUACAAAUUCUUUGCCUAAAAAAAAAAAGAAAUUACGAAAUUUUGGAAAAUGCGGAAAAUGCAAAGCAAAAUUCCAACCAAUCCUACUUCCCUAGUGCAAAUUUUAAGCGCAAAAACACUAAUUAAGCUCAGAAUUAACACUAGGAAUACCAAGAAGCACUCUUAGUUACCUCUGGGUUUAAAGAAAACCCUAGAUUCUUGAAUCCACGGCUCCGGGAAAAAACCCUCGUUUCUAGCAGUACCUCGAUGUUCGUGAAUUUACUUCGGUGCUUACUAAGGUAGAAGAACGGCCAUGCAACACACAAAUGAAACAACUGCCGAACUCGUCAUACCUCGGACUCUUACGUUGUUCCAGCCGCGGUGCAGGAUUCUUUAUUUCCAUUUUUACCCUUGACGGCUUUCAUUGUUUAAAGGAAGCGAAACGUUGUAAUGACUAUUAUACCCUUGGUUUCUUUGUAUUUUUGGGUGGAUAAAAAGAAGGCAAUUCAUUUUAUUUCCACAUAUUUGCACUUGAUAUCUCCUCCCGUUCAAGUAAAUGGGUGAAUAUUUUAAUAACUAUUAUACCCUUAUUUCCUUUUAUUUUUGGGUGGGUAAUGCAGAAAAUGGGAACAUAAGGUUAGAAAUAGAAUUAUAAUACACGCAAAGUUCUAUUUAGGUUUAAUUGCACGUUAUUUCUUUAAUUAGAGAUCAGCAGUAAUUCACUUCCUAUGUUCACAAAAUCCAUAAAUUGCUUCGCCAAAUCCUUUUCUUCUUUUUUUUAUUCUUAUUCUCCAUAUUAUGCUUAGAUUUCCGUUUUUUUCCUCUACAUUCUUGUUGCGAUAUAAUACUGAGUUUGAGAAAAAUGCAAUGAAAAAUUUUGUUUUAGACGCUUAAAUAUAUACUACUAUUACUUUCUUACAAAAAAAGUAUUUAAGUUUCUCACAAGUUAUUGUAAUAAAUUAAAAGUACUUAUUUAGCAAAAUUAAUUUUAAACAUGCAUAUACACAAUAAUAACAACUUCCUCAUAACAUGCUGUGAUUUGUGGAAUCUUGAAAGUGUCGAUUAAGGAAUUGUGGUAUGUAUGGUCCAAGGUUUGAUUGGUUCUUAUUUAAAUGCUAUAACUUUGAGGCCUAUAUUACUUUCUUGGUUUAUCUAAAAGUAGCCCUAUUCUAGACUCUGCAGCAAUUACACAUUUUCGUUUAUUUUGUAAUAUUGUGGUGAUUUAAAGGGUUCAAUGAUUAAAUCUGCUAAUUACUUAGCAAGGAAAAUCAAGAAGCAGAUGAAAUGUGAGGAAGAAGCUUCUUCAUGAGUUAAAGACAAGAAUCUCUGGAAAUUAAAUGUUUCUCCAAAGAUCAAAAUUUUUGUGUGGAGGACAGUGAUAGGUGUCGAGUAUGUGCAAUAAUAAUAAUGUUAAUUCUAUUUGCCAAUAAAAGCAGUUUCGAGUCAAUUCUAAUAUUGGAACAGAGACUUUGGAUGUACAAUGGAUUACUAAAUUUACCAUGACUCCGAAGAGUUUGCUAGAUCCGAUAUACCAAAAUUUAUUCAUGAAAAUUUGUUAACUUGUAUAUAGGGCAAGUAGGGUUGUAUCCUCAGGAAUUGGGGAAAAUUUGCUCCUUUUCAAGUUAAGGAUAAACGGGGGUUUUGAGAAUUAAAAUGCUAAUUGUUGUAAACUAAUAAAAUAAACUACUAUAAUAUCAAGUAAAAUAUUGGAGAUAUUAGAGAAAGAAGUAGAGAAAUAGAGAAUGAUUAUCUUAUUAUUCCAACUAAUACAAAAGUCCUUCAUAAAGGGUGUCAAUGUACCUCUAUAUAUAAGUACUACAAGAUUAAAGGAACAUUAAUCCUAUUAAACACCUACUACUACAAGAAUAUGAAAAAACCUAUGAAACGGUUUUUCCAUUACAUGAAUAGAUUUAUGGAUUGUAACUUCUAUACAUAAUGUAGCCAUAAAUCAAGAAUUAAUUCUCUUAAGAAUACAAAGAGACAUCCAUACUUUUAAUUGUUUCAUAACACUCCCCCUUGGAUGUCCAUUACACAAAGAAUAAGUCUCGUUAAAACCUUACCAGAGAAAAAUUCAUCGGGACAAAAACCCUAGUGAAGGAAAAAGAGUACACUAUUCUUGUGUAUUAAUUUCUCCCCCUGAUGCAAAUAUUAUUUGAGAUCUUUUAAUCGUCGCAUUUCAAUAUUCUUCGCCAAUUGCACUGAAAUAUGGUACUUCAGGACCAAGUAUCUCUUCAUCUUCCUCUUGCGAUCUAAAAGGAUCCUUUUUAGGAUCUAAUGAUCUGACGACCAUUGAAAUACUUAAUAUAUAUGCCUUAUCCAUAUAAAAUCACUUUAAUACCUUCCGAGUAUAUGCAGUUUGGUGGAUAAAAAUUUCACUUUUCAAAUGCUUAAUUUGUAAAUCAAUGCAGAAUUUUGUCUUUUCAAAAUCUUUGAUCUCAAAUUCUUUCUUCAAAUAUUCAACACUAUUUUGAAUUUUUUCAGGAGUUCCAAUCAAAUUUAGAUCAUCAACAUCUACAGCAAUUGUCAUAAAAUUUGAUCCUUUUUUCUUGAUAAAAACACAUGGAUAUAUUGGAUCAUUGGUAUCCAAAUAUUUGUGAAAAUUCUUGGGCUACUUGCUUUACACCUUUAGGUGUUUAGACUACAAGUCUAAAAACUUUUCUUUUAAUCAAUAAAUCCAGAUUGGAUCGCAUCUCUCCACUUUGCCCAAUCAUUUCUAUAUCGACAUUCAUCAACCGAUCUAGAUUCAUGAUUCUCAUCAACUUCUAUAAUAUCAAAUGCUACAUUUCAUUAUAUUCCAAUUAAAUUUUCUAUGAUUUCAUUCUCUUCAGGAGUUGGCUCUUCAGGAGUGAUCUCUUCAAGAGGUUGAAUUUUGUCAUGACAUUUAUUUAAUCUCCAGAGAUAUUUGAAAUCAAUUUAUACCUUAUUUAGGUAGGCCGACCUUAAAUUUAUUUGUAGCACUUGUGCAUGUCCUUCAGGGACAUUAAUUUUAAUCAGAAUAUUUCCUACAGGAAUAGUUGAUUUAAUGACUCUUCUGGAUUCGAUAAAUAUAACUUUCUGCAAAUAAAGAAUCUUUUUGAAUUUCUAGUUCACAUUAUAUUGUAUGAGAAUCGAGAAAAUCCAAUUUCUCAAAUAAUUUCCUUUCAGUUGAUCUUUUGCUCCCCCUAAUAUCGGGAAUCGUAGUUCAUCAGAAUAAAUAAAUCAUUCAAUAGAUCACCCAUCAAUAUUUUACAAUAUUUAAUUGUAAAAGGUGAUUCAUACCCAACAUAAAUCUUAAAUUUCUUUUAGAGCCAUAUAUAAUAUAAAAGGGGGGUAUGUAUAAAUAUUUGUCGGCUCUCAGAUAUUUUCACUUUCGUCAAAUUAUGUAUUCAUUGGGAUCAGUAAAUUUCUGAUUUACUGCAAGUGAUAAUUAUAAAUCAAAUGAGAAUGAAGACAACUAUAUCGAUAACCAUUUCUCUCUCGAAUGGUUAUUAUGAUAUAAUUAACAUUUAUCUCAUUUGAUUUCUAAACAUGAUCUCUAUUAUUGUCUCAUCUAGUAUCUCAAUUUGAUAUCCAUUUCAACGGAUAUUCAAAUUCAAUAAUUCUUUCGAGACAUGAUAAAAAAUAGUGGUUUAUUUAUAAUAAACUUUUCUCCUACAGGGAGAAAUAUAGUAGUGGCUCUUCUGGAGCUUUCAAUCACUUAAACACUAUCACUGAUUGUGUUUGUCUCUUUUGUUGGAAAAUAGUGUACAUAGUAGCACUUAUUAAUGAAACAUAUAUCAUUGUUAUCACAAUUCUUAUGGGACAAAUAUCAUCACCAUAAUCCUUUGAUUCCAAAUAUUUAACAUCCAUUUCUUUUUCAGGAAGAAAAGUCAAUUAUUAUCAUAAAUUAAAUCAAACAUCAUACACCUUCAGGGUGUUUAAAGAAAUUGGCCAUGUGAAGAUGCUAUUAUAAUUUUGAUUCGUCAAAUGUACUUGGGACAUUUAUCUUCAGGAUCCUUACUUUCUUGUCCUUAUCAUUAUUAUCCACUUCAAGUGGUAACUUUUUUCUCUUGUCAUGGUAAAAUAUAACUAAUAAAUUGAAAUUUAGUCGCAUUCACUUUUGGGAAUGGACUAGAAUUAGCAUACAAUAAGUACAGAAUACUUUUCAAAUUUUCUCUUCAUAUUGCUACUACAUGAGCAUAUUCGAGAAAUCAAUUGUAGAGAAUAUCAUUUUCAAUAUAUCUUAUGAGUAAAAUUUUCUCGACACAAUUUCAACUGAGAAGCAAUUCUGAAAAUUGCAGAAUUAUGUUCUUGUAGCCAUAGGUAAAUUUAUCAUACCAGGCUUUUGAAAUAAUGACCAUCUUCUGAUGGCCAAAUCUUUUUGUUAAAAAAUGACCAUCUUCAGGUGAUCCAAUUUUUUUCUUUAAAUAUUUCAAAGGACAAGUAGAUUCUCAAAUAUAAUUGAUUUUCUAUACUACCAUUCCAAAAUUCAAUGCAUCAGAAUAUAAGUAUUUAUAACAAAUAAUUCUAAAGAUAAAUGAGUAGAAUUAAAAGGAGAAAUAUUACCUCAAAAAUAUCAAACAUUAUAUAUUUGUGUUUAGUGGUUGCUCAGCAAUGGACACUUGUAUUUUUUUGAUCAUUCAAAUGUUAGUAAUAAGAAAUUGAAAUAAAUUUAUAUAUAAAAAAUUUACCUCAAUAAGUAGACAGAAGUUGCCGAAAAAAAUACGAAUAGAAUUUCUUGUUUCACUUUUACUCAAGGUAAAUCCUCGUUUUCACAUUUUGCUCAAAAGUAGAGACUCGUGCUGAUAACGUGUUGUAAAACUAAUAAAAUAAAUUACUAUAAUAUCAAGUGAAAUAUUGGAGAUAUUAGAGAAAGAAGUAGAGAAAUAGAGAAUGAUUAUCUUAUUAUUCCAACUAAUACAAAAGUUCUUCAUAAAGAGUGCCAAUGUACCUUUGUAUAUAGGUACUACAAGAUUAAAGGAAUAUCAAUCCUAUUAAACACCCACUACUACAAGAAUAUGAAGAAACCUAUGAAACGGUUCUUCCCUUACAUGAAUAGAUUUAUGGAUUGUAACUUUUAUACAUAAUGUAGCCAUAAAUCAAGAUAUAAUCCUCUUGAGAAUACAAAGGGAUAUCCAUACUUUUAAUUGUUUCAUAACACUAAUGGAUUAUUAACUAAACUAAUCAACUGUGAAAAAAUAAUUAAGAAAGAGAGAUAAUGAGAAAAACUAUAGUCAAUGAUACACUUUAGAGAUGGUUCAUGCAAUUGAUCAUUAAUGCAAUUAUAAUUCCAAUAUUUAUUAAUAAGUAAUUUUUUAACUGCCGAUACAAUCUGACAGUCAGUCUCUCUCCUUACUGUUUCGAUAGUUAAGGUACGACUAUUGACUAUUUCUCUAAUUUAGGAAUAACCGUAGGUACGACCAUAAGAUUUAAUUUCCAGUUGCAUUAGAAACUAAAGAAACCCUACUCUAAUCAAUAAACACGCUCCGAGGGUUUAUUUAAAUUAGAUUGUACGUUUCUCUGAUACAAACCCAAUUACAUCAGUUGCUACCUGUAUUGGAGUAGUCAAAUAAUUACGAAUUCAACUAUUCUAAUUAGCAAAUAGAUUACGUGAGUAAUUAAAUAUUGCAUACUUAUUCAAUCACACAUAAUAAUAAUAGCCACGAAAAAUAGAAAAUAUACAAAUACCAAUGAUUGAAUGAAGCAAUUAAGAUGUGAGGUUGGACGUGGAGCUAGUUAAUAGGAUCUUUAAUAAAGAGGAUGCGAAGAGGGUGCUUAGAAUUCCCCUUAGUGCGCGACCUGGGAAAGAUAGAAUCUAUUGGUCACUGUCGACCACAGGGGUAUAUACAGUAAAGUCGAGCUACAAGCUAGCAAAAACUACUCAGUUCAUAGUUGGAAGUUUCUCUGGGGGAUGAGGGUGCAGCAGAAGUUAAAACAUUUCAUUUGGAAAUGCUUGAUUGGAAUAUUGCCUGUAAACGUACUAAUUAGAGACAGAUGUUUCAGAGGAAACUACUUGUGCAGGUGCUGUAGGGAAAGUCCAGAAACAAUAGAGCAUAUGUUUUUCUUUUGCAACAAUGCCAAGGCUAUCUGGGAGGCUGCUCCUUUAAGUUAGGAUGAUCUAGAAAGCUUUAGGAGCAAAUUCUGGUUAUGGUGGGAGGAGUUGAAAGAUGUAGUGAAACAAGAAAGAAGGAGAGAACGUGUUGAACUUACAGCGAAUUUGUUGUGGCAAAUUUGGAAGUCAAGAAAUGGGGUGCAAUUUAAUAACAAAAGAAGAGAUCCAAUACUAGCAGUCCAUAAAACUGUAGUGGAGUUGAGAGAAUUCCAUGACAUUCAGCAAGCGGAGGUGGAAAGAGUAGGUGGCGGCGUAACGGAGAACGAAGGAAUAUCUGGCUGGGGGAGACCAAAGGAAGGUUGGAUUAAAGUGAACUCAAAUGCAACUUUGCAUCUAGAAACGGAUAAGGCAGGAUGGGGGAUCAUUGUGAGGAAUUGGCAAGGGAAGAUGGUUGGAGUUUGGGCAGUGCCAAGGCCAUUAUGUACGCAUGCAAAGUUAGAGGAAGCGCUUGCACUCAGGUUUGCCAUGUUGGUGGCAAACCAGAAUGGAUGGAGACGAGUAGAGUUCGAAUCAAAUUGUUUGCAGGUAGUUAGAGAACUUAAUAGUGCAAAUGAAGAGGUUAUUAGGUGCACAGUGAUAGCUGACUUGAAGAAACUCAUACUAAAUUUUGAUGAAUGUUGUUUUGCUUAUACUAGAAGGGCAAACAACUUUGUUAGUCAUUCUUUAGCUAAGAAAGCAUUACAAUUGGAAUGUUCUGCCGAAUGGAAGGAUAGCUUUGCAGGCUGGAUGCUUGAGCUUGCUCAUGCUGAUUGUAAGGAUAGUUGCCUAUCUGUUACAUAACUGUUGGAGUCCAAUUAAUAAAAUGAUGCCGUUUUGAUAAAAAAAAAAAGAAUGAAGCAAUUAAAAUAAUUUAAAUCUCAUAGUUAUCAUUGAAUCAAAUCUUCAAUUGUCACAUUGACUAGAAGUAUGAAAUUAGUUCUCCAUUAAUGGAGAACAAGUCACGUAAAAAUCCGUUCGAAGCUUUCCCAUUGUCUUCCUCCCUAUCGAUCCAAAAAAAUAAGAAUUACUAUGCUUUGUUCCUAAGCAAGAGCUAUAUCCGAAUUCUCUCUACCGAAUUACUUAAUUGAUUGGUUUCCUAAUAUCAAUCAAAUUCCUAAAGAGUUUCCUAUUACAAUUCAAUUUCCUAAAAGCUCUCCCAAUUGCUCGAGACUGACGUGGAAUGCAAAGAAAUAGGAAACUUCAGCAGUUGUCGAGUUUUGAAAUUUGACUUGGAUUGGGAAACUGUUCAAUAUCAAUCCCGACUUUCUGUUUUUGAAUCCCGAACUUAUGUUUGCCCACGUGAAAAUCAUCAAAAAAAUUUUCAUUUAAGCACUUUUCGCUCCAACACCCUAUAAUUGAUAUAAAAUACCAAAUAUAAGUAGAAUCUAUCAAUUAAUACAAUAUUUGACUAAAAUCAAGGAAAAAAUAAUUAUAUAUUUAGCAACAAAUUAUGACCUAUCAGAUAAAAUCUUCAAGCGAGACUUGGAAAGAUGAUAACAGUCUGUAAAUGUUGUGGAUAUGCAGUGGAAUCCGAACAACACAUGUUCCUUGAAUGUGAAUUUGCCCAAGUGUGGAAGGGGCUGGAACUUCAGAUGGCUUCAAACAUUUCAUCCAUGUCCAUGAAAUCGAUGCGGCAAUGGCUGAAAAUAGGGGUGGCAAUCGGGUCAAAUUCGAGUUGGCGGGUCGGGUUGAGACCCGUGUAUAACAAAAAUCUGCUGACCCGCAAUCCUAAAUGGGUCAGAAUAUUUGACACGAACCCAAAAAUUUCGGGUUGGCGGGUCGACCCGAAAUGACCCGAAACUUAAUUUUAAUUUAUUAAUUCACCACUAUAAUUUCUAAUAAAAUCAAUUUCUCACAAAACUAAUUACAUAAUCAAGUAAUAAAAAUUUAAAUAAAUAAUCUCAAACCAAAUCUAAAAUAAAUUAAACACCGUAAAAGUGUUUUAUCCCAAACCAAAUAUAAAUUAAAUUAAAUCAGUAUAAAAGUAAAAAAUAAUAUAAUAUAUUAUUUGUCCAAAUAUAAUAAUUUCAACUUCACACAAGUUAAAUAAAUUCAUUUAGGAUUAAGUAAUUAAUGUCUUUGAAAAAAAGGAAUAACUUAAUUUAGUUAGAUAAAAUAAUUUUUAUAUUUAUUAAAUUAUUUUUAAUUCGUAAACGGGUCACCCACGGGUUGAUCCGAAAUUAACUUGUUUUCUUUUCGAGUUCAUCGGGGUUCUACCCGAUUCUGACCCAAACCCCUGAAAUCUCAACCUAAAUUCAUUAAUUUCAUAUUAAAUUCGUGUCGUAUUUUCAAGUCAUAUCGGAAAUUGCCACUCCUAACUGAAAUGAUAUCCCCUAGAACUAUCAACCCUGAACAAGUUGAAUGUUUAGCUUUCCUCAAAUCUCUGCCAUUUUCAAGAGAUUUUGGUAUUGCCCAUUUCAUUCUGGAAGAUGAUGCCUUAAAUGUUGUGCAGAAGAUCAAAAACAAGAAUAUGCGAAGCUGUUUUGAAUAUGUUAAUGAGUUUCCCAUGUUGGAAGAAAUUGCAAUGUUCCUGCUCAUAUCAUGUCAAGGUUGUCUUCAUCCCCAGGGAAAUCUUGUAUAUAUGCUGCUGAAGCUUAUUUAAAGGAUUGAUGGUAAUUUCUUUUUCAAAAAAAAAAAAAAAUCCAUUACAGCCAAUACAGAGUUCAUAUGUAGCGUUGGGUAAUUUACCUCACAAGUAAAUCUAGCUGAUACUAAUUUCCAAAGACACAAAUCAUUUGGUGAGAAUGUGAACAAAGUAGCCAUAAUAAUGUCACUUCAUUUGACUCUCAAACUCUACUAUAUCUCCAUACACUUGUAAAGCUUAUACUAUAUGGUUUCUUUCUUGAAAAAAAAAAUUAUAAAUACUAGUAAUAAGUAUAUCUUUUAUGAACUUGUAUUCUAACUGAUAAACUAGCUCAACUUUAAUGUCAAGAUUUACGUAGGUAGGUAAUGAGCAUUUCCAUGCCCAUA